rnacentral:lncRNA from 1 species
UAGGAGCACAAAUGCUCCAGUGUGAAACUGACUUCUCCUGGGGAUGGUAGGGCUUCCUCUGUGGUCCAGUAAUGGUGACGUCCCUAACUGGCAGCCUGGGCCCCAGCGUCAGGAGUUGGGCUCAUGGUGACACAAAGGCUCCUUGGAUGCAAGAGCACAAACACCUCAGUGUGAAGGUUUCCUCUGGAGAAGGAGCAUUUCACUAUCCAACAAAAUGUUUAUUCCAGGAUUUUGGUUGAUUUCAUUAAUCAGAAAAUGCAUUUUAGAAGAAAAUGAGUCUCUGAUCUCAGGAUUUGUCUGAUCUCUCACGAUUGGGAUGGCCCAUUCCUAGAGGGGUAAGGUCCCACGUUGUUAGGAAAACUCAUUUUUAGCCAGUUAUGAAGUCUUAUAUUCUACAAAGAAAAAAUAGGUGAAGGACAGAGAAAGGAAGCAGAGGAAAGAUGAGAAAAUAACAAAUAUUUUUUAAAAAGGGAGAACAAUCCUGGAAAACUGAUAUAGGCCAUAUUACUCCGAAGUCAAUACAUCAGUAGGGAGAAGACCUGGAAAACACUGCUAGACCAACUCAAAAUUACAAAGUUUUCCAGAGCUUAUAUGUCUUCUAAGCCAUAUGUCUAUGUGUAAGUAUGCAUUCAUCUAAAGACAUAAGUGAUUAACUUCUUUUAAUCUGUAACUAAGAUCUGAGUUCUGAAGACCUUCCUCUGGAGCCUGAGUAAAUUUACUUAAUCUAAAUGGGUCCAGGUUCCGGGGUGAUUACCCUUAUCUUGUCUCCUGCUAAAUCAUGGAGGAUUGGGAAGUUCCUUCAGACCCCAGUAAACUUGUUUGUGGAGGCCUGGGGAGUUUCUUCAGACCCCCAAUAAAACUUGCUUAAUCCUAAAUGUAUCCUGUUAAGAAUUCCUUCAUUAUCUUGUCAUGUUUCAAGGCCAGGAAAGGCUUAGGCAAAACUCUUGGUGGGCUUCUGUUACAGCCCAGCCUUUGCAUAAGGUCACUGGCCCUUUCAGCUUUUAAUAUUUAACUUAAUCAGUCAGUGCUGAAACAGUUGUUAUGAAGGCCCGCAUUAGUGAGACCUGGCCUGCCACACUUGGACUUCCUGUUUUAUCUUAAAUAUCCGCUUUCUUAAAUAACCAGUCAUUUUAUUUUGGGACAAAAAAUUUACCAUACAAAUUCUUUCUCAUAUAAAAUUAUUUUCCUUUUAACCUUUAUUAUCUUUUGCCUUGUUUCAUAAAUAACCUUUGAAUUAGAAAUUAUUUCCCUUUAAUAAGAACAUUUUUUAAAGAAAAAUGUUUGCUUGCUAUAAUAUAAUUUUUAAAAAUCAGGUAACAAUACAAAAGCAAGCAGUUUAAGAUCAGAGGGAACCUGUCUGUUUAUAUUCUUGGGGUUCCAUAUGGAAGAACAGAGAUUUCUCCCCAGAAAGGAGUCUGGUGCCUUCUCUCUUUUCUUUAAGGAAUCCCAGGCUGUUAGAAAUUAUUUAGAUCCUUCAUGCAGCAGAGAGUGGCAAGAGGAAGGAGAGACAGGCCAAAGUAAUUUGAGGAAACAGAACUCAGUCAACUGAGAAGCAAAAAACUUUUUCUCAAAAAACAAGAUCCUAGGACAGAGAAAAAGCAUAAAGGCCUUAUAUUCAUACACACACAUCUUGGAUAUUAGCUUUUAAUUAAGCUGAGUUUUAACCACUGAGCUCUUAAAAAUCCUUUUAAAUCUCUUUUAACCAUGUUUUAGCUGGGACAACCUGCUGAUAUUUCAAAAGUACUAAUAACACAAAAUUUAAGCCAGAAAGGACCUGAUUCAGGAACCAAACCCAGGCUGCUAUGGUGAAAGCAGGCAGAACCUUUAGCUACUGAACUACGCUGCGGGGCAGCCACCAUAGUUCUUUCAGUUUGGGCUUGGCUGGCGAAAGAUGGCCUUGUUAUGUAAACAAAGCCCCUCAGGUAGUCAAAAUCUUUCUUUUCUUCCUUUUGCUGGCUUUUUUAUUUUUUUUUUCCAGCUGCAGGAAUGUAGACAAUUCAGAGGCUUUGUUCCCCAUAAUUUGGAACUUUUCUUCAGAUUUGACCAAGUCGGGUAGAGAUGAUCAAACCUAAUGGGAAAAAGACUGAAACAACAAAAACAGAAACAGGCAAACACAACCAGACCCCCCCCCAAUCGUAAAGAGAUUAACUAAGAUCUGAAUAGGAAACAUUUGUCAUCUAUUGUCCCUAAGGGCAGCCACCAUAAGACUUCCAGAGAACUUUGGUCUCCACAAUCUUUUAUCUUAACCCGAACAUUCCUUUUCUAUCAAUCCCGGGUCUUUAGGCAAACUCAACCAAUUGUCAACCAGAAGAUGUUUAAAUUCACCUAUAGCCUGGAAGCACACCCCACCCUAUCCCGUUUUUGAGUUGUCCCGCCUUUCUGGACCAAACCAAUGUAUUUCCUAAAUGUAUUUGAUUGAUGUCUCAUGCUUCUCUAAAAUGUAUACAACCAAGCCGUGCCCUGACCACCUGGGGCACAUGUUCUCAGGACCUCCUGAGGGCUGUGUCACAGGCCACGGUCACUCGGCUCAGAAUAAAUCUCUUCAAUUGAGAGAGUAUAAGGAAUCCGAAGGUUGCCCUGCACACGG